UUGAAAGGGAAACGAUUGAAGUCAGUCGUACCUGCGGGUAAUCAGCCUUUUGGGCAUGAUUCUGUGGAGCGUGAGGAGUUAAACGCCUUCAUGCCUGCAUAUUCGUGUACUUUGGGGGUACUUGCCUGUGUGGUUAGUUAACAUCAAUUUUGGUCGUCAUAAAAUGACUGGAGGAAUGUAGCUUCGAUCUCGUAUUGAAGUGUUAUAGCCUUUGGUAGAUGUGAUUAUCGGGAUUGAGGAUUGCAACGGAUACCCUUCGGGGCUACUUGUCUGAUCUCUGAUCGUUGCUUUGGUGCCGAAAGCGUGCUUACGGUUAUCAAAGUCGAUGGUUAAUAGGUUAGAACGGGUUAAAUUCGUUAAGGAUGUUGACGUA
rnacentral:rRNA from 1 species